GACAGAGGUGCCGAGCGUUAGGCGGAAUCACUGGGCUUAAAGCGUGUGUAGGCGGGCGAUCAAGUACCUUGUGAAAUCCCACGGCUCAACCGUGGAACCGCUGGGUAUACUGGUUGUCUUGAGCCGGCUAGGGGCGAGCGGAACAGACGGUGGAGAGGUGAAAUGCGUAGAUAUCGUCUGGAACGCCGAAGGUGAAAACAGCUCGCUGGGGCCGCGCUGACGCUGAGACGCGAAAGCCAGGGGAGCGAACGGG
rnacentral:rRNA from 1 species